rnacentral:rRNA from 1 species
UACGUAGGGGCAAGCGUUGUCCGGAAUGAUUGGGCGUAAAGGGCGCGUAGGCGGCUCUGUAAGUCUGGAGUGUAAGUCCUCUUUUCAAGGGAGGAAUUGCUUUGGAAACUAUAGAGCUUGAGUGCAGGAGAGGUUAUCGGAAUUCCCGGUGUAGCGGUGAAAUGCGUAGAUAUCGGGAGGAACAUCGGUGGCGAAGGCGGGUAACUGGACUGCAACUGACGCUGAGGCGCGAAAGUGUGGGGAGCAAACAGGAUUAGAUACCCUGGUAGUCCCU